rnacentral:rRNA from 1 species
GACGAACGCUGGCGGCGUGCUUAACACAUGCAAGUCGAACGGUGAACCAGGGCUUGCCCUGGGGAUCAGUGGCGAACGGGUGAGUAACACGUGGGCAACCUGCCCCUGACUCUGGGAUAACUUCGGGAAACCGAAGCUAAUACCGGAUACGACCUCUGACGGCAUCGUCGGAGGUGGCAAGUUUUUCGGUCAGGGAUGGGCCCGCGGCCUAUCAGCUUGUUGGUGGGGUAAUGGCCCACCAAGGCGACGACGGGUAGCCGGCCUGAGAGGGCGACCGGCCACACUGGGACUGAGACACGGCCCAGACUCCUACGGGAGGCAGCAGUGGGGAAUAUUGCGCAAUGGGCGAAAGCCUGACGCAGCGACGCCGCGUGAGGGAUGAAGGCCUUCGGGUUGUAAACCUCUUUCAGCAGGGACGAAGCGAAAGUGACUGUACCUGCAGAAGAAGCACCGGCUAACUACGUGCCAGCCGCCGCCGUAA